CUUGCGAUUUGAAGGCUCAAAUGGAGACGAAGCCGGAGCUCCGAUCUCUUCGCGGCGGCGGUGGCAAUGGUGGUAUGCGUGGCUUUCGGGAUGCUCCUCUGGCUCCAUGGCGGUGGGAUGGCUUCGGAUCUAUGUACACAUGGAGGCCUGUGGCUCCCGCUUAGAGAAAGAGCGGCGUGGCGAUGGCGUCUUUGAUCUCUCCCGUCAACUGGAACGCCUCUUUUAGUUGGAUCUCUUCAGCAGGAUUGCGGAGAAAUCAGAAUUUCCAUGCAGGAAGAUGACAAGAAAAAUCUUAGAAUCCAGUGUUUAAGAGGAACUGGAGAUUGUCUAAAACCCUGGUAUAUUCAAAUUGAAUCACAAUGACGAGUUGAUUUUUAGGAGGAUCACAUAACAACUGCUACGACACAAAUUCAUGAGUAUUCUUACAUAAAAGAAUGACAUGAGGCUGAUCUGGAUUAGCUUGUAAUAUUUAGAAAAUUUACAAGGGGAUUAUAUUUAGAGAUAAUUGCUGCUAAGAGGCUUCCAUCUCGGAAAUGUAAAAUUGAUACACUUAGUUUGAUGGCAUUUCCUACUGCCUAUAGAUGUAUUUUGAUGGCCUUUCCAUACUAGCAAGAAUGAUGCUAUGAUGAAAAAGGUAAGAUAUGGUUGAUAAAUCAUGGCAUUAUAGCAUCUUGACUUGGCUUGUCAUGCUCAGAAAACUUAGCAAGAGAACUAGAUUUUGGGAAGUUUUUGCUUAGAAGCCUUAAAUCUAGGUAAGAUAUAAUCGAUAAAUGUAGUUCGAUGACCUUUCCAUACUGUUUAUGGUAUAAGAAUAUGUGAUUUCUAGUUAGAUUUGAUUAGAUAAAAUUGACAUUGGUUGUUGUUUGUUUUAGUGAGACCAACUCUUGCACUUGUCCAACGGGCUUAACUCCUUGCUUGAUAUCUUCUCUACUAACAAUAUUAAUUUACAAACUUGUUUGAUUAAAUUUAGAGUAGAAAUUAUACAAUAGAACAGAUAAGUGAUUUUUUGUGUAAUCCUUUUCAAAUAGUAUGCCUUUAGGCUUAACUUACACAUGGCUUUAUGGGCUUGAUGAAUUGAGUCUUCCGUCCCUUAAUUAAUUCUUGGCCACAAUUGCAUCAUUCGUAUCAUCGAAAGCAUAGCAGCUGAGUUGUUAAGCUUCUUUAAGUAGCUUCGACAAAGUCGAUGUUGGGCAGGGUUCUGCAAUUUCCGCCAAAGCUGAUGGUAUUGGAGGUGUUUGCUCCGCGUGUGCUUGCUCACCAAUGAUAUUUUAAUAAUUCAUGGAAUCUUGGUAAACAUCCAUGCAUGUACCUGCUGCAUUUGAACCCACUCUCGUUGCUCUGGCCACAGUACCAUCACCAAUGAUAUUUUAAGAAUUUAUGGAUUCUUGGUAAACAUCAUAAGUUGGCAGCCGUCCCUGAAAGUCCCGGCAAGCUUUAAAUGCUUGAUAAGCUUCUGCUGUAUGCUAUGGUACUGUGUCCAGAGCAACGAGAGUGGGUUCAAGUGCAGCAGGUGCAUGCAUGGAUGUCUAGUAGUAGAUUCAGGUUCAUUGAGUAUAACCGGAAGGUUUUGUGGUGGUGGUGCUAUGCUGGAGACUGAGAUUGCUUAUUGUCUAAGUGGUGAUAAGUGUGGAGGCGGAGCAGGUGCUCCAUGAAUCGGGUUUUUGCGUGGAAGAAAAGUGGGGAUAGGAGCAGGAGCAGCAGCGUCACGUUGCGACUCAUAUUUGAUAAACAUAUGUUUAGUCUCACAAACAUGUUUAUAAACAUAUGUUAUCAAAUACUGACAUAUUUGAUAACAAUCUACACAAGAAAUAAACUUUUGUCUCCGGUGUUCAUGCAUCUAUACUACAUGUUCAACUCUAACUAGAUACACUAAACAUGUUUAUAAACAUAUGUUUAGGUGUGAAAAAAAAUGUAAAACUAGCUUUGAUAUCUUGAAGUAGGUAAUGUGUACAUCCACUUAAGUUUUAGACAUUGCAAGGCUUACCACUAUGCCAAUUCAAUGGUCUUCAAUUGGUAUCAUGCUCACAAUCAUUAUGAACAAGAUUCAAACUGCUUUGUUAUACACUCUAAAUAUAUAAUAAAAACCGCCGUGGUAUCUUAAAGUAGAGAACUUCCUUAAGGGGGGAAAACCUAAUCCUAAUCAACCACGGCACCUCCUGAUAAACUGGUCUGAGGAGACUGCCAUUGCAGUAGCCAGUAAAUAUGCAUUUCUAGUCCAAUAUGUGAUGCAUGAAAAGUUCUCGUAGCUAUUGAAGUCAAUCGGGUUUGAUUCGACUAAAUGGAACAAAACUUCACUUUUCCCCUAAGCAGUGUAAAUCUGACAAUGCCACUUUGAUUCUUGACUCCAAACUUAGCCAAACUUCAAUCAAUCAAUCUAACAUUUCCAGUGAUACUUCAAAUAUAUGAUAUCCAUGUUUCAAGGCUUAAAAACCAAGUAUAAACCAUAUUUACAACCCAGAUAUGAAAGCCUCAAAAAUGCAUUCUCUCAUCAAUUUACUUCAAAUCAAUGUAAACCAAGUUGAAUCUAGCUUGCUUCCACCCAGAUCAAUAUAUACCUAGUUCAACUUCAAAUCACUUCAUAAAAUAGUUCUUUACAUUUCAAGAACAAAAUUCAUGUUUCAUUUAAGAAUUAUUGCACCAAGAUGGACCGUAUAGAGGAACAUCAGCUAAAAGAAAUUUAAAACUAACAGUGAGGAUGAAAGACACUCAGAUUUUACGUGGAAUACCUCUUAAAAAAUUAGUGGAAAAACCAUGAAGAAAGAUAGAAGAAUUUUAUUAAUGUGGGAAAAUAGAAAGAUAGAAAAAUUUCAUUAAUGUGGGAAAAUUAGGAGUUAUGAUCACUCUAUUUAUAAGGAUAAAACAAUUUUAUUCUCUUAUAGUAGGAGAAAAUACUCUUACUCUCAAACUCACAAGGAAGAGGUAUUAUAUUUUUUUUUUCUAUCUCACUCCCUCUCUUGUAUGUGUUUAAGUACUUCAUCUCUUGCAUUUUUAUUGCCAAGAGCUUCACCAACUUCAAUCAGUCUUUUUGACUUUUAUUAUUAUUAUUAUUCUGUUUGCAGCCGGCGAGUAGGUGAGUUGAUUUCACUAACUAACAAUUCUUUCAU